AUGUUCCCGAGAUGGCGGUUGCGAGGGAUGCAAAGACGGCCGACGGUCGAUCCUCGCCGUCUCUUUCUAUUCCUAUCCUCGAGCUCCUUCACGGCGAGGACCACCACCACCAUCUGCUGCCGAUUGUUCUCGAGCAACGUCUCUAUGUUCGAGUCAUCGGACGACGACAAAUCCUCGAGCAAAAAUUCCUUGCAAGGGCUUAAAUCCAUCUACAAAUCGCAACGGAGCUCGCAUGAACGAAAAUCAUUCACUAACUCUAACUUGAAGAGGCAGAAAAGGACUCACUGGCGGAUCCGGGGCGGGCAGCGACUCGGCGCCGACCCGGGGGCGGCUGGGCGCGGUGGAUCUGGGGUGCCCAUGAAGCGGCGUGGUGGACCAGUGGGUCUGCAGUGGCCGGCGGUGACAUCGGCUGAUAUGGCCGGAACCGAAGGCCGCGGGCGGACAGUGGGCGGCUGCGGGAUGCGGGAGGGGAAUGCGCGUGGGCUGAAAUGUCCCUCCCGCCAAGUACUUUUCCAAGAUACAGAGCACAGAUGGGGCGGGCGGAAACCUGUAUUUUCGCGGGUCGGGGGGCAAUUUACCGCGCCCCUCAAAAGAAUUUAA
rnacentral:rRNA from 1 species